rnacentral:lncRNA from 1 species
GGCUGACUCUCUUUUCGGACUCAGCCCGCCUGCACCCAGGUGAAAUAAACAGCCUUGUUGCUCACACAAAGCCUGUUUGGUGGUCUCUUCACACAAACGCGCAUGAAAUUUGGUGCCAUGACUCGGAUCGGGGUACCUCCCUUGGGAGAUCAAUCCCCAGUCCUCCUGCUCUUUGCUCCGUGAGAAAGAUCUACCUAGGACCUCAGGUCCUCAGACUGACCAGCCCAAGGAACAUCUCACCAAUUUCAAAUCUGGAACGCGCAUGAAAAAACCAAACAAACAAAAAAAUUUCUUUUGGUAGCAGAAUAAAAAAACAAAAAAAAGGACUUUUUCUUCUGGACUGAACUAUAUUUAAAUCUCAAAGGAUGGACAUCUCACAACCUUCCUACAGCAAGUACUGUGAGAGCUGCAUCUUGUCCCACUGGAUGGUCUUCAGAGACAAUAAUACAUAAUGGAGCUGUCAUCUCCUAUGAUAACAAUGCCUUCUUCUGGAUACCUCCUGAAGGACCUGCCUGAGGCUCUUUCACUCCAUGUAAAGGUGUGCUGCUUUCCCUUUGCCUUCCGCCAUUAUUGAAAGUUUCCUGAGGCCUCCCCAGCCAUGCUACCUGUACGACCUGUGAAACCAUAAGCCAAUUAAGCUUCUUUUCUUUAUAAAUUUCCCAGUCUCAGGUAUGUCUUUACAGCAGUGCAAGAACGAACUAAUACAGGCUUCAAAACCUGUGUGAUUGGAAGAAUGAAAAGGUUGUUAGUAAGAAUAAUAAGAGAAUUAUUAUCUGAGCAUUAGAAAGAUGAUAAUAUGUUCUUGCAAUGUCAUAGGCAAUCCUAUUCUAAAUUCUAAGUGUUAAAAUUUUCAAAGUUUAUGCUGAUUUAUCAAUUAAAUACAAGUCCUGACUUUGGAAAACAUUUAACAUGGUUUGUACAUAUAUAAUGAAUUUUUAAACACACUCCAUUUAAACAUGUGACUAAUCAGAAAACAGAAUUAGAAAAUUUCAUGUAAAUCACAGGUAAAGAAAAUGGCAAUAUUUUUGUUUAUUUUUGUUUUGAUUCUGACCCUCCCUCUUGUCACCCAGGCUGGAGUGCGGCGGCAUCAUCUCGGCUCACAGCAACCUCCGCCUCUGGGUUAAAGCGAUGCUGCUCCUGCCUCAGCCUCCUGAGUAACUGGGAUUACAGGCGCCUGCCACCACGCCUGGCUAAUUUUUUUUUUUUUUUUAAUUUUUCAUAGAGAUGGGCUUUUACCAUGUUGGCUAGGCUGGUCUCAAACUUCUGAUCUCAGGUGAUCUGCCCACCUUGGCCUGCUAAAGUUCUGGGAUUACAGGUGUGAGCCACGGCGCCCAACAAAAAUGGCAACUUUAAUGAAAGAAUGAAAACAUCUUUCAUCACCGUUAUAUAUUCAACAUUUUAAGAAAAUUACAAAUUAGUGAUAAGUUCAUAAAAUAAGCCCACAUUCUACAAAAACAAAAGCUUAUUUAUUUUGAAAACUACUUGUUUUUCCCUAAAAAUGAGGCCUGUCAUGAAAAGUACAAUUUUUAAAAAAUUGUCUCCCUAUGACCUCAAGGGUUUUUUUUUAAAAAAUUUGGGAGUUUUCUGUAUUUUUGUUUGAGUUAAUUUUUUUUGGAGUUCACGCAAUCAGAAGUUUUAUCUUCUAGAAAGCAAAAUGUCAACUUUGUCUUGUUAAUCAGCUUACUGUUCUCAUGAUUGUCACUGACAACUCUUAUGAAGUAUACAGCCAUUUACAAUUUUCACCAGAGCGCAAUCUCUAAUGAAUGUUUCAAAAAUAGAGCACUGGCAUAUUCAUUCUAUUUAAUUUUCCACUAUAACACUUUGAGUGAGGUAUGGAUAUUCUCCUUUUACAGGGUGAUUGUUUGACAUUGUGAUGCUAAGUUAAUUGCCAAUAAUCGGUAAAUUUUUUGUAUGACUCCAGGUGCUGCUCACUUUCUACCACCUGUCAGCUACUUCUUCACUGUCAUUGACACCUAGAGUGCUUCCUCUAAGGUACCCUCUCGGGUGGUACAGCAGCACCAAGUAAUGUCUCCAACAUUACUACACAAACUACAGUUGCUGUGUAAAUAAACUUGUGCUUCGAUAGAGAGGAAAUCUGUCUAUUUCUCUGUAACUGUUAGGGAAGAUAUGGUUCAGUUGGAAUAGCCUCUCACAAAAUACUCUAGACAAUGGCAUUAAUAAUACUGUAAGUCUGGAACAGAAGGGAUUACUGAGUAUCAAUCAGCACUACUUUUCAAAUUAAUUUAAAAUGUGUAUAUUAUGCAUCCGAACAUUAUGCAUCCUAACAUUAGGAACUCUGUCGGGAAAGCUUAUGGAACCUUGGAUGUUACAUAGCGGGCUUUGCUAUUCAGGCCUGAGCAUCUAGGUCUAGCCUAAAAAUCAUAUGUUAACUGAUUGUGUUUUUUUAAAGUGUCACUUGAUCUUUUAGAACCUCACAUUUUUUAAACAGAAAAAUGAAAUAUUGAUGACUGGGGAUCAAUUCUUCAUAGGUCUCUCAUGUUUUUUCACAUCUUGUGAGCUGAUACUGACAGCCUUUGUUCCAGACUAUCUAUUCAAUUAUGUUUGUAUAGUGAACAGCCUUGGAAAAUAGAAAUAGCGUCUCCCUCCAGAGCAACGGUCAGGCAUGCUUCUUGCCCAUUAAUAGCUUUUGGGUUCCCUAAGCUCAGGAUUUCAUUUUGAUAGUGCAACCUACUGUGUGAACAGAUAUCAUCUGGCCCUUUUCAUGUUACUCUGUGGGAACUGGGGCUCAGUGAACUGUCACAAGAUAAUAUUGAUGCUCCAGCUAUUGAUAUUACUGUGAGUAUUGAAAUCCUUUGUCUCUGACCCAGGAGACUUCUUGUCUUUUGCCAGCAUCCAUGAAACUGCAGCAGGCUAACUAGUUAGAUUGCAAGAAUUGUAAAUUCCCAGACCCUUCACAUUUCUUGACAUUGAUAUGUAUAGUCUUCAUAAACUCUUGCAAAGAUUUAUUUGCCCCCAUCAUUCAAAUCCCCAAAACUGUACUGUCUAACUCCAUCUUCAGCUCAAAUAAACACCAGGCUAAAUCCUGACGUUUGCUGGAUAAUUUAAUUAGCUCUUUCCCAGUAACUCUGCAUCAUUGACCUUCCAACUGCCCUGCUCUGAAAACAUGUGCCACAGUUCUAACUAGGAACAGCUUAAGACCUUUAGAAAACUUGAGUAGUGAAAAGAUUAUCGUGCCCUCCACAUGUGUAAUUCAAAACAAAAAUAGUAAUAAACAGCAAAGGAAGUUUAAGGAAGUCCAGUGAAUUCUGAUUAUCUGCAUGAUGACCAUUCAGCCACUGUUGUUCUUAUAGCAGCAAAUAUUAAAAUUUUUGUUUCUCAGUCAUUUUCUACACCCAAACUUGUGAUGAGUCUGUCUAUAGAAUAACCCAGCAGUACUGAUUUGAAAACUAAAUCCCAGAUCUGAGCUCUUAUCUACUCUCUUCUUGCAUAUAUGUAUGUUGUCCCUUCUCCCCAACUCCCUGCCUCUAUUCUUUGUCUCUGCCAAGUCAAGCUGCCUUUCUUCUGCUGAAUUAACCUGAUAUCAAUAGCUUACCUGUCACCACUUGUCAGAAUUUCCUCCCACUGCCCAUCUUGAUUCAUACUGUCCCACUGCCUCAGUGAUUCUGAACUCACUGUCUGACACAACCCACAUUUCUUUGAGAUUCUGCAUGAUUCAAAGUUCAUCUAGGAAAGAGGUUCAUAUCAGAAACCCCAUUUUCAGCAGCAACUCAGGUCAUGCUCACUUCUAAUUAUACUGUUAAAUGAGUGUCCUUUGGUAUUUAAUUUUGUAUUAUCAGAGGUUUAUUGAAAAAUAGAAGGCAUUUAUGCAAAAACAUUUCAGGAGUUUUUAGUAUUUUUUCAUCAGUCAGAAGACAAUCCUAUAAUUAUCGUCAUCAUGAUAUUUAUUUUAAAAAGGGUAAGAAAAUAACAGUAAACUCGAAUGCCUUUAAGGGUUUAAGAUAGAUAUGUAAUUUCUUAAUACAACAGCAUGUGAGAUGGGAAAGAAGGAUGAAGGAUAUCUCUCAUUUGUAAAUGUCUAACAAGCAUUGGAAAGUUGUGAGAAAAAGACAGAUUCAAAUUACAUGAAAUAGUGAAGUUAACUGAUUCAUACAUAUUUUUAGGUGAAUGAGAAUUUGUUGAAAGAAUGAAUUAACACUUCACAUAUAUUAUGGCACACAUUCAGGAAUCGCCCCCCUUUCCCCCAAUUACACCAUUGGUCUUUUUUCUUGUUCUUUCUUUUCUUCUUCCCUCCCCAACCCUCACUGAUUUUUGUUUGUUUGUUUUUGUUUUGUUUUUGUUUUGAGACAGUGUCUCGCUCUGUCACCCAGGAUGGAGUGCAGUGGCACAAUCACAGCUCACUGCAAUCUCCCUCUCUUGGGCUCAAGCGAUCCCCCAACCUUGGCCUCCCAAAUUUGCUGGGAUUACAGGUAUGAGCCACCACAACUGGCCCCUUACCAUCUUCUUAUAAACUGGCAACUUUUCCUUUUGGUAAUCAUCAAAAUGCUUAAAAUAUUUUCCUAAGCCUAGAGGCAUAUCUAACAAAAAAAGCCUUCCCCUACUCCCAUUCCUUCAUCUGAGUGGAGAAAUAGGUUUACAUCAAAAGUACUUACUGGAUAGCAUUAUCAAAAACAGCGGCAGUUUAGCUUUAAUAUGAUUUAUAUAUGUGGCAUGAUUGGGAAAGACAUUUACUGUUUCUCUGCCAUGUUACACUCAGGACUCCAUCAUGCCUUCUGUCCCAAAGUGAUUAGAUCCUCUGUGAUAUCUACUUGGAGUAUAUCCUUUCCCCUUUUCAUGGGUAUUGACUCUAGUAAUCACCUUGAAUUUCAAAUAGCAACCAGGCACUUUUACUUCAGGUUGGUUUUCAGCACACUGCCAAGUCUCCCUAAUGUCAACAAGGCUAGCAGUCAUUCCUGGGCCAAAUUUGUCCCCUUCCUGAAGCAAUGUCUGAAGCUGAACAGGAGUCACUCCCCAGCAUCUCCCCAGUCCUUGUGUGCCACAUGGAUAAAGAAGAUACAGUCCCCAUGACUGGCUAGCUUGAAGAUGCCAACAGGUCUCAAUUGUCUUGACUUGGUUUAUGACAAACCCAGCCUCAGGUUGCCAUCUAAAAAUGGAGACAUGGCCGGACUCAUCUUUCUCAAGCUACCUGGACUUCAAUAUUACUCUUGUGACCCGAAUUAUCUUAUUUAGUUCUUUUCUUGUUUGGUGCAAGUCAGCUCCUGGAAGGUGGAAGUGUUUUGUUCUCCAUUGCAUCUCCUGGGAUUUUUGCCAUAGGCUUUUCUGUACUGUUUGCAUUUCUGGUUGUUUGCUUGAAUUACCUCUUUGGGACGUGAGGAAUUUACACUAAAACACCUGUUUCUUUACAGAAAAGAUACUAGCGCCAGUCUGGCAGGGGCCUUUUCUAGUCUCAAGCACGCUGAGCAGUCCUACACCUUGCCUUCUGAGAGAGAAGAGGACAGUCCUCAGCCUCCUGAAGCCUGGCAAGGGUGCCUUAGUGAGGACAUCACCUGCAACUCCCAGAUGGAUAGACGAGGCCAUGGAGAGAGGAGAACACCAACCCAUGAGUGACAAGUGCCUGUCAUUGUCAAUGAUGCUGCAAGCACCACGAUGCCCCUUCUUAGCAGGGACCCAGUGGGCCUUACCAGCUUCAUUAUUUUCUAGGCAUGAUCGCAUCCUGUCUCCCAUUUUUGCUAAAAUUCUAUCUAGAGAAAGAGCUCAUUUUUAGCUAAAAAAAAAAAAAUCCUGUUUUAUCUGCUAAAAAAUCACAUAAAAUAACUAUUGGACUGUUUGAAAUGGCGUGGCCUCUGCUCUGACUUAUUAACUGUGAUCUUGACUAAGUUAAGCAGUCACUCUGACCUUACGUUACUCCCUCAAAUUUGAAUAAAAAUAGCAACUUCCUCUACUUAUAAAUUACUUCUAAAAAUUAGAUUCUUGAGAUUCAAAGAUAGGUAAUACCUGCCUUCAAGAAACUAACUCUCAAGGCUGCUGUAUGGAAAUCCUGCCUCCUAACUAGAUUGCACUCUUCUAAAUGCUGUACUACUGCUAUACACAUUCUCCAAAUCAAGUUAAUUUCAAAGUCUUGCUGAAUCUACUUUUUAGAAAUAUCUAAGUCAUGUGUACGUCUUUCCAUUCCUGCAUCCCAGGGGAUUGCAGCCAUCAGCUCACCUCCUCUCCUAAUCCAAAAUGUUCCUAACUGGUCUCCUGCCUUGCCUUUCUCCUGAUCACUUCCUACAACAGAGUGAUCGUGACUUGAAAUGCAAAUUAUAUUGUAUGAGUUAUCUCCCAAAAACAUUCAGCUGCCUAGCUCCCUUAACAUGAAGUCCAAAUUGCCCUAACAUGGAGUCCAAAUUUCGUUAGCAUGGUUUAAGAGUCUCUUCAUGAACAAAAGGCUUCUGUCUUCUCCAGUCAUACCCAAAUCUUUCCUAAUCAAAAGCCAUUUUUAUCAGUUUAAGAACAGAGACAGUUGUUCCAGAUAUAAGGAAGAGCAUUGGCAAAGUUGCAGAUAAUAAUUUAGGUGAGUGUGAUUCAGAGAUCUCAUUAGUGAUGCCUCAGAAUGACUAGGAGACAUGGAUAAAAGGAUAACAAGAAAGAAAAGGAGACCACAAAACCACAGUCCAGAUUGUAGGAGGCUUGGGUUGUGGUAAUGAGCUGGGACUUCUCUGCUGGCUAUCAGGAGUCCUCAUCUAUGAUCUGCUAGAAGAAUAUCAUGAUUAGAACUGCAUUUUAGAAAGUUAAGUCUAGUGGCUGCAGAGCAUACAUAUAGAAGGUAGAGCUUUGAGUCCACAAGAACAUUAUGGUUUAAUAAAACUCUGUGAGAGAGAUUAGAGCACAAACAAAGGCAGUCAUAAUGGAAAUGGAAAGAAAGUUAAAGGCUAAAGACUCCAGAGACAUUUUGAAAAAUGUGGGAAAUUAGGAGAGGAGCUGCAUCAAUCAGGACAUCAGUGUUACUGAUUUGCGAGACUAGGGAAUUAGGAUGUUCUUGAUGAAAGUGAGCAAAGGAAUUUUGCAGAGAUCAGAGUAGAACUUUUUUUUUUCCCUGAAAGCAUUCUGAAAACUGUAAACACCCUACUGCAUAAGAUAUCAUCAUCAUUAUUACUAAGCAGUCCUAUGUUAAUAGCCCUUUGGGUCUAGAGCUUGAAUUAUGCGCUAUACCUUGUACUUGAAAGAAACUAUAUCCUGACUAGUCCAGAUGGAUAUUACUUAACCUGCUUUAAGAUCCUCUAGGGAGGAACAACCACAACAAAUCCAAGAAAGGUCCCCUUCCUAGCAACUGUGCAUCCUUCCAGCUGCCUUAUCAAUGAUAUCAUCCCUUCGAUAUGUUACAGAGUCCAUUUGGACAAUUUUUAAAGGGACUCAUGACAUUCUGGUAAAAGAGAAUUAUGAUUUCUGGACUCUUUAAAAUUCAAAUGUAGGGGGAAAAAAAGCAAGUCUUCUGUUUGAUCAUAAAAGCUAUAAAGAUGCAAAGAGAGAAAGGUCCAUUCUAGCAUUUCAAUAAUAUCUGUUUUCACUGAAAACCUGAGCUGACUUUAAUCAUCUACACUUCAGACUGGGCUAAUACCUCAGAAAGCUGCAAAUACUGUGAACGCUGUCACACUAGCACAAAGCCUUUGCAAAAAUUUCCCCAAAAUACACAGAUUAAAAAGCACAUUUUCUCUCUCUCUGUUUUCCUCUCUCUCUCUCUCUCUCUCACACGCACACACACAUACACAUGCACAAAAUUUGUCAUUAAUUGUUAAAUUAUUUUCAUUGUAGGAAAGAUAAAUCUUUCAAUUAAUAUAGUAUUGUUCAUGCUAAAAAAUGUCUUAUCCAUUAAAAAGAUACUCAGUUGUAAUAGAGUAGUUCAAUCAAUACUGGUAAAUUGCACAUUUUGAGGGGAUAAUUGGUAAAUGCAAACUCAACUAGAAAAGAAGAGAAAGCAGUGUGUCUUUGUUCCUUCUGUGGUAAAGGAAUUCAGACCACCACCAGUCAACAUACCUUGAAUUAUGAAAACAGCACCUACUAUUUCAUCAUUCAGAGAGAUCACUCACAAACCUCUUUUUCAAUUGUAUCUAAUUUUUUUGUGCUGGCAUUAGGCAAUGGACCACCUUUGUAUUUAAAGUCUUUUCUUUAAAAAGAUUUUAAAUUUCAGAAAAAGCCUUUGCACUUAAACAGUGCUUCCUUUUCUGUCACUUUCAUGCUUAAAUGGUCGUCCAAUUUGACAUUAACUUUAUCGAGAAUAAUAAGUCUCAAUAGAGCUUCUAUUAUCCAGUGUUCUGUGAGUAGGUAGCACUUCAGUUGAAAGAAGAUUAUUCCAUUUUUAUAUUUUCUGGAACACUAGAGGAAAAUCUCAGACAUUGUCACAUUUCAUUUGCAGGUAAACCUGUAUUCAUCUUAGGUUAACUGGUUACCACUACUCACUUUCACCUAGUGUUUCCAUAUUUUUUUCUUAUAGAGCUGUGUCUACUUUUAUUUCAGAAUGAAUCAUGUGUGGCUAUUUGAAUUUUUAUGACUCAUGGAUUCCUCAUGAAUAUCCAAAUUGUAUUUUCAUUACCCAGUAUAUGAUUCUUUCUAAGUAGCAAGAUUUUUAUUGUAUGUGUACAGUUUGAUGCCAUUUCUUAUGUGUUAGUAGCGAAUGUCUCCUUGGCUUAUUCAUGAAGAAAUGGGUGAUGAAGGUGCCCACAAGCAUUUCUACUUGAUAUUUGUGUUCAGAUUCUUUUAAUAAAGGAUUUUGACAACUCAACAAAUUAGAAGAAAGUAUGGUGAAGAGCAAACUCUUCACAUGUUUGUUCUGCACAUUUUUAUCUUGUUCAUGCAAACAAUAUGUCAAUGUGGCUAUCUACAAAUAAAAGUUUGGAAGUUUUAGCUAAGAAAAAUGCCGUUCUCUAAAUAAAGUAAUACAGUGUGAAAAUU